rnacentral:rRNA from 1 species
ACGAGGAACAAUUGGAAGGGCAAGUCUGGUGCCAGCAGCCGCGGUAAUUCCAAGCUCCAAUAGCGUAUAUUAAAGUUGUUGUGGUUAAAAAGCUCGUAGUUGAACCUUGGGCCUGGCUGGCCGGUCCGCCUCACCGCGUGUACUGGUCCGGCCGGGCCUUCCCUUCUGUGGAACCCCAUGCCCUUCACUGGGUGUGGCGGGGAAACAGGACUUUUACUGUGAAAAAAUUAGAGUGCUCCAGGCAGGCCUAUGCUCGAAUACAUUAGCAUGGAAUAAUAGAAUAGGACGUGUGGUUCUAUUUUGUUGGUUUCUAGGACCGCCGUAAUGAUUAAUAGGGACAGUCGGGGGCAUCAGUAUUCAAUUGUCAGAGGUGAAAUUCUUGGAUUUAUUGAAGACUAACUACUGCGAAAGCAUUUGCCAAGGAUGUUUUCAUUAAUCAGGAACGAAAGUUAGGGNAUCGAAGACGAUCAGAUACCGUCGUAGUCUUAACCAUAAACUAUGCCGACUAGGGAUCGGACGGUGUUAUUUUUUGACCCGUUCGGCACCUUACGAGAAAUCAAAGUGCUUGGGCUCCAGGGGGAGUAUGGUCGCAAGGCUGAAACUUAAAGAAAUUGACGGAAGGGCACCACCAGGGGUGGAGCCUGCGGCUUAAUUUGACUCAACACGGGGAAACUCACCAGGUCCAGACACAAUGAGGAUUGACAGAUUGAGAGCUCUUUCUUGAUUUUGUGGGUGGUGGUGCAUGGCCGUUCUUAGUUGGUGGAGUGAUUUGUCUGCUUAAUUGCGAUAACGAACGAGACCU